GGGAGCGGCAGACGGGAGAGUAACACGUGGGAACGUGCCCUUUGGCUCGGAAUAACCCAGGGAAACUUGGACUAAUACCGGAUAAGCCCUAACGGGGAAAGAUUUAUCGCCGAAGGAUCGGCCCGCGUCUGAUUAGCUUGUUGGUGAGGUAACGGCUCACCAAGGCUACGAUCAGUAGCUGGUCUGAGAGGAUGAUCAGCCACACUGGGACUGAGACACGGCCCAGACUCCUACCGGAGGCAGCAGUGGGGAAUAUUGGACAAUGGGCGCAAGCCUGAUCCAGCCAUGCCGCGUGAGUGAUGAAGGCCCUAGGGUUGUAAAGCUCUUUCGACGGGGACGAUAAUGACGGUACCCGUAGAAGAAGCCCCGGCUAACUUCGUGCCAGCAGCCGCGGUAAUACGAAGGGGGCUAGCGUUGUUCGGAAUUACUGGGCGUAAAGCGCACGUAGGCGGGUCGUUUAGUUGGGGGUGGAAUCCCAGGGCUCAACCCUGGAACUGCCUCAUAAACUCCUGGUCUAGAGUUCGAGAGAGGUGAGUGGAAUUCCGAGUGUAGAGGUGAAAUUCGUAGAUAUUCGGAGGAACACCAGUGGCGAAGGCGGCUCACUGGCUCGAUACUGACGCUGAGGUAAAAGUGUGGGGAGCAAACACCGGAUUAGAUACCCUGGUAGUCCACACCGUAAACGAUGAAUGCCAGUCGUCGGGUAGCAUGCUAUUCGGUGACACACCUAACGGAUUAAGCAUUCCGCCUGGGGAGUACGGUCGCAAGAUUAAAACUCAAAGGAAUUGACGGGGGCCCUCACAAUCGGUGGAGCAUGUGGUUUAAUUCGUAGCAACGCGCAGAACCUUACCAACCCUUGACAUCCCUGUCGCGGCUACCGGAGACGGUAGCCUUCUGUUCGGCUGGACAGAUGACAGGUGCUGCAUGGCUGUCGUCAGCUCGUGUCGUGAGAUGUUCGGUUAAGUCCGGCAACGAGCGCAACCCACACCCUUAGUUGCCAGCAGUUCGGCUGGGCACUCUAGGGGAACUGCCCGUGAUAAGCGGGAGGAAGGUGUGGAUGUCGUCAAGUCCUCAUGGCCCUUACGGGUUGGGCUACACACGUGCUACAAUGGUGGUGACAGUGGGUUAAUCCCCAAAAGCCAUCUCAGUUCGGAUUGUCGUCUGCAACUCGACGGCAUGAAGUCGGAAUCGCUAGUAAUCGCGUAACAGCAUGACGCGGUGAAUACGUUCCCGGGCCUUGUACACACCGCCCGUCACACCAUGGGAGUUGGUUUUACCCGAAGGCCGUGCGCUAACUCUUCGGAGGGGCAGCGGACC
rnacentral:rRNA from 1 species